UCCAUUUCUUAUGAUAUCAAAGAUUUCGUUAGAGCUGCAUACCGGCUUUUUUAGGGAAGUGUUAACGAAGCUGAAAUACACAAUGUGUCAGACGCAUUGGUGAGGGUUAAGCACCCAGGGGCUUCUAUUCUGACAUCCGACACUACUUUCUAUAAUUGUAAAAAAUUUUAUGAUGAGAAUUUACAAAAUUGUGAUAAAUCAUUCGCAUGACAAUCACCACGAUUCCUCAAGGGGCGAAAGAGAAAACGAAGCAAAUUUGCCCAUAAACAUUCCGUUCCUUAAUGAAAAGGGGCAAACUUUCCACAUACCAAUGUGUGCUGUCCGAUGGGUGAAGUUAGUCACAGAAUAUCUUGCAAACUAUAGUACAAAGAAUAAAAUCGUUCAAAAAUUCUAAAAUAUCACGAAAGAAAGUCCAGAAUGGCAUAUGGAACACAGUAAAGGCAUGCAGAUAAAGAUAUGUACUAGUUGGUUUUAAAUCAAAAUAUACUUAAAUAAUGAUUCACGGUACAGUAA